rnacentral:rRNA from 1 species
UACAGAGGGUGCAGGCGUUAAUCGGAAUUACUGGGCGUAAAGCGUGCGUAGACGGUUAUUUAAGUCAGGUGUGAAAGCCCAGGGCUCAACCUUGGAAUUGCAUUUGAGACUGAAUAGCUAGGGUGCGGAAGAGGGAAGCGGAAUUUCCGGUGUAGCGGUGAAAUGCGUAGAUAUCGGAAGGAACACCAGUGGCGAAAGCGGCUUCCUGGUCCAGCACCGACGUUCAGGCACGAAAGCGUGGGGAGCAAACAGG